AGUUUGUUGGAACUCUUCGGAUCCGUCUCUCGGUGGGUCAUCUCCUCGAAGCUUUCCAUCGGUGGCUCACCUCAAAACGAAAGAUACAAGGAUCAAGCUGAAGAUCGACUAAAGGUUCCAAGGUUCAUCGAGGAUAGAGCACACUGCACAAAUAAGGGGUUCAAGUAACACACAUCCACAAAUGGAAGCAAGAAAACGAUUGUCUGUGGCCUCUCAGCAAGAGGAAUCAUACCACCUC